rnacentral:rRNA from 1 species
UACGAAGGGGGCUAGCGUUGCUCGGAAUGACUGGGCGUAAAGGGCGCGUAGGCGGCUUGUAUAGUCGGAUGUGAAAUCCCCGGGCUUAACCUGGGAACUGCAUUUGUGACUGUAAGACUAGAGUGCGGCAGAGGGGGGUAGAAUUCCACGUGUAGCAGUGAAAUGCGUAGAUAAUGUGGAGGAAUACCGAUGGGCGAAGGCAGCCCCCUGGGUCGACACUGACGCUCAUGCACGAAAGCGUGGGGAGCAAACAGG